UUAGGGCCUCUUUACUCAUAACACGAAAGACGCAGAAACCGGAAGCAAAUCCGCGAAUCAAACAUGAAAUGAGGAACCACGAACCAUUACACAGGCUGUUGUGGGGGGG